CAGCGGGCGAGAGCGGAGACUGGGAGCGAAAAAUCCGGGAUCCGGCAACUUUGGGCAGCGCAUGCGCGCCCGCGGCGCUCCAUCCCAAACACACACACAUUUUUCCCCCGGACUUGGAAAGUCACCCAAAGCCGCCCCAAGUGCAGGCAAACAGACCUCACUGAGUGAAGGUGAAGACCAUCCAUCUUACCUGCCUUUCCUGCUGCCUCAGCCCUUCCUAUAGAAGGGGGUCCUGCUGCUCCCGUGGUGUGUGUGGGAAUGGACUUCGGACCCCAGGUUCUUGGGAUGCAAAGAUCUUCAGGCUCCCCAAUUUCAUCUUCUCCCAGCUUCCUGGGACUCUCUGAUUCUAGAAUGCACCCAGGUAUAGUCCUAGUCCUUGUGGAAGUCCUUCAGCCCAGUGGACACCAUGCUGAAGCCAUAAGAGGACCCUUGGAUGGGCCCACCCGGGCCUCCCCACACCAUCAGCUGCUUGCUCUGUUAAAUCAGCCCCCAGGAUGGUCUCCACUUUCAGCUCACCACCCAGUUUGGUUUGGUUUCUUG
ensembl:lncRNA